rnacentral:rRNA from 1 species
UGGGGAAUAUUGCACAAUGGGCGCAAGCCUGAUGCAGCCAUGCCGCGUGUGUGAAGAAGGCCUUCGGGUUGUAAAGCACUUUCAGCGGGGAGGAAGGCGAUAAGGUUAAUAACCUUGGCAAUUGACGUUACCGACAGAAGAAGCACCGGCUAACUCCGUGCCAGCAGCCGCGGUAAUACGGAGGGUGCAAGCGUUAAUCGGAAUUACUGGGCGUAAAGCGCACGCAGGCGGUUGAUUGAGUCAGAUGUGAAAUCCCCGGGCUUAACCCGGGAAUUGCAUCUGAUACUGGUCAGCUAGAGUCUUGUAGAGGGGGGUAGAAUUCCAUGUGUAGCGGUGAAAUGCGUAGAGAUGUGGAGGAAUACCGGUGGCGAAGGCGGCCCCCUGGACGAAGACUGACGCUCAGGUGCGAAAGCGUGGGGAGCAAACAGG